CACGUAGGGGGCGAGCGUUGUCCGGAUUUAUUGGGCGUAAAGAGCUCGUAGGCGGUUUGGCAAGUCGGGUGUGAAAUUUCGAGGCUCAACCUCGAAACGCCACUCGAUACUGCCAUGACUGGAGUCCGGUAGAGGAGUGCGGAAUUCCUGGUGUAGCGGUGAAAUGCUCAGAUAUCAGGAGGAACACCAACGGCGAAGGCAGCACUCUGGGCCGGUACUGACGCUGAGGAGCGAAAGCGUGGGGAGCAAACGGG
rnacentral:rRNA from 1 species